rnacentral:rRNA from 1 species
UACGAGGGGGGCAAGCGUUGUUCGGAAUUAUUGGGCGUAAAGGGUGCGUAGGCGGUGCGGUAAGUCUGUUGUGAAAUCUCCGGGCUCAACUCGGAGUCUGCAUCAGAAACUGCCGUGCUGGAGUGUGGGAGAGGUGAGUAGAAUUCCCGGUGUAGCGGUGAAAUGCGUAGAGAUCGGGAGGAACACCUGCGGCGAAAGCGGCUCACUGGACCAUAACUGACGCUGAUGCACGAAAGCUAGGGGAGCAAACAGG